AAAUUGAAGAGUUUGAUCAUGGCUCAGAUUGAACGCUGGCGGCAGGCCUAACACAUGCAAGUCGAACGGUAGCACAGAGAGCUUGCUCUCGGGUGACGAGUGGCGGACGGGUGAGUAAUGUCUGGGAAACUGCCUGAUGGAGGGGGAUAACUACUGGAAACGGUGGCUAAUACCGCAUAACGUCGCAAGACCAAAGAGGGGGACCUUCGGGCCUCUUGCCAUCAGAUGUGCCCAGAUGGGAUUAGCUAGUUGGUGAGGUAACGGCUCACCAAGGCGACGAUCCCUAGCUGGUCUGAGAGGAUGACCAGCCACACUGGAACUGAGACACGGUCCAGACUCCUACGGGAGGCAGCAGUGGGGAAUAUUGCACAAUGGGCGCAAGCCUGAUGCAGCCAUGCCGCGUGUAUGAAGAAGGCCUUCGGGUUGUAAAGUACUUUCAGCGGGGAGGAAGGUGUUGUGGUUAAUAACCGCAGCAAUUGACGUUACCCGCAGAAGAAGCACCGGCUAACUCCGUGCCAGCAGCCGCGGUA
rnacentral:rRNA from 1 species